GAAAUCAGGAAGCUCAAGAGCUCAAGGCUUACCUUUUAGCAUAAAUAGGAUGGAUCAGGAAAAGAAACAGUAGAAGACUUUCAGGAUAAAAGGCACAUUCAGUUUCCAGCUCCAUCCAGCCUAAAAGAUACAUGAAAGUUUGAACUGCUUCUCAGGUCACAAACACAAUUCACUGCUGUGGAUCUCCUUUCUCAAGAGAAGCAGCUGUUCACAAUUCUUUGCCUGGAGCAAUGAGAUCUGGACUCCUGCUUCUAAUAUAGCAACAAAUCUUGAUCCAGCUGGUGGCUUCUUCUCAACAAUGAA